rnacentral:rRNA from 1 species
GAAUGAACUUGGCGUGGUUGUUGCUGGUCCUCUCGGGGGCAUGUGCACACCCGUCAUCUUUAUCUUUCCACCUGUGCACGUUUUGUAGGUCCAAAAAAUUUUUCCGAGGCAACUCGUUUUAGGGGACUGGCGUUCGUUACUGUCGCCUUUCCCUGGAUUUUAGGCCUAUGUUUUCACAUACACCAUAACAAUGUAAUAGAAUGUUAUUAAUGGGCUUUAUUGCCUAUAAACUAUAUACAACUUUCAGCAACGGAUCUCUUGGCUCUCGCAUCGAUGAAGAACGCAGCGAAAUGCGAUAAGUAAUGUGAAUUGCAGAAUUCAGUGAAUCAUCGAAUCUUUGAACGCACCUUGCGCUCCUUGGUAUUCCGAGGAGCAUGCCUGUUUGAGUGUCAUUAAAUUCUCAACCUUAUUAGCUUUUGCUGAUAAUGGCUUGGAUGUGGGGGUUUAUUUGCUGGCUUCUUCAUGAGAUCAGCUCCCCUUAAAUGCAUUAGCUGGUUGCCUUGUGCAGACUUGUCUAUUGGUGUGAUAAUUAUCUACGCCGUGGUCAGUCUGCCUGUCUUUAGCACCGCUUCUAACUGUCUGUUUACUCGGACACUUUAUGACAAUUUGACCUCAAAUCAGGUAGGACUACCCGCUGAACUUAAGCAUAUCAAUAA